UACGUAGGGUGCAAGCGUUGUCCGGAAUUAUUGGGCGUAAAGAGCUCGUAGGCGGUUCGUCGCGUCGGCUGUGAAAACCCGGAGCUCAACUCCGGGCCUGCAGUCGAUACGGGCGGACUUGAGUGUUGCAGGGGAGACUGGAAUUCCUGGUGUAGCGGUGAAAUGCGCAGAUAUCAGGAGGAACACCGGUAGCGAAGGCGGCCUUCUGGACAGUGACUGACGCUGAGACGCGAAAGCGUGGGGAGCAAACAGG
rnacentral:rRNA from 1 species